GCGAUUGCGUCACAUUCAACACAACUUACAAGACCAACAUAUUUCAUAUGCCUUUGGGAGUGUUUGUUGGAACAAACCAUCACUUGCAGUCAACGAUAUUUGCUGUUGCCCUGAUUAGAUACGAAGAUGCAAAGUCAUUCAAGUGGUUGUUCGAUACAUUUGUACGGUGCAUGAACAACAAACAUCCAACUUGCAUUCUAACAGGUAAGUUCAGAAAAAAAAACUCUACAAGUUUCAUCAAUUGUACAGUCUAUGGGUCUGUAUCUGCAUACACUAUUUUUUUUCUGAAAAAAAUGUUAAGCAAGCAGUUCAACCACUGUUAGCACAGAAGUCCAACAAAAAUAGUAUAAGAAGCAGAAUUAUAUGUCAAAUGUUUAGAAAAAAUAUAGUUCAGGAUGUGAAGUUCAAAUAGAGGAACCAUACAAAGUUCAAGGACACUGCUGCAAGGAAAAACACAUGUGACAUAUAGUUAUGUAAGUGAAGUUCAAGCACUGGUACCACAGAAGGUCAACAACACUGCUAUAAGAAAAAAAAAUAUGUCACAUUAUUUGUUCGUCCUACUGCUACCUGUGAAGUUCAAGUACUUGUACAUCAUAAGUUCACCAUUAGUAAAAAGAAGCAAAUUUCACUUUUUUUAAUUCAUGCAGACCAGUGCCCGUCGAUGGCGAAAGCCAUACCUCAGUCAUUCCCAAACACCGUCCACAAGCUAUGCGAUGGCACAUCCUGAAGAAGUUCAAGGAAUACCUCGCGUUGCUGUACAAAAAGUAUGACACAUUCAAACAAGAGUUUAGAGCGAUCUUGAACUGGCCGCUAAUGCCUACAGAGUUUGAAACUUCCUGGGCUACACUCAUGUAGAAGUUCAACCUACACAACGACCAGAUGAUGAUGCAGCUCUGGAAUGAUAGGAAGAUGUGGAUUUCAGCAUAUUACAAGAAUAUUUUCUGUGCUAGAAUGACUUUCACACAACGAAGCUAGAGCAUGAAUCACGUGCUCAAGAGAGGGUUUGUCAAGGGGACCUAGAACCUACACAAGUUUGCUAGGUGGGUAAAUGCAUGCAUACAAACUCGGAUGCAGAAGGAGAACGAGCAAACAAUGAACAACAUGGUAUUAAAGACAAAAAAACACCCAUCAUAUUGUGACUUCCUUCAACAUGUGCAUACUGUAUUUGAAAAAAUGACUCUGCUUCGACUAAUAUCUUAUUUCUUGACAUGUGUGCAGACCAAUCCUGUGACAAAAACAACCUACGACUACGAGGAAGACAUGGCUAUCAAGUACACGAGAGCCGUGUACACUGAGAUGAGGACUAGGAUGAGAAAAGCGAUGCUAUUUCGCGCAAAGCCUAUAGCAGAGCCCACUAAGUACCUUAUGUACUACCACAACAAGACUGGCCAUGAUGAUGAAGAAAGAUUUGCCUGGUCAAAGCAUGAAUUCCAGGUUGUAGCUAACCCUGAUAAUGAAAUAUACGAGUGUGAAUGCAAGCUAUGGACACACACAGAUGAGCGGAAAAACAAACUCAUUAAAUACCUAAACUAGUAGUAUCAUAUCAAAUAGAUGAAACUCAUUGCUGGCUCACAAACUAUGUAUUUUGCAUUCAUCACAAAAAUGCAGGCCUCUUCUGCCUUCACAUCAUGAACAUACUGGACCACCUGAAGGCCGACAAAUUUCCAGACAAGUAUAUCCUCAAACGGUACACAAAGACUGCAAGAUCACAACCAACAUUCGAUACAUGGGACUACAACAUGUCUGCAUCGGAUGGCAGCUCAAGACUAUCGAAGCAAGACAUCUUGCUGCAGCUAAAUUUUAUGGUUAACAAGAAAGCGAUGAGAUGUGACCAGCAAUAUGACAGAGCCUUCUAUGUUCUCAAGAGGCUAGUGGAAGAGAUGCAAUACAUUCAGCAAAUCGAGCGGAUGCUGACCAAAGGAUGGCUGAAGAGGAUGCUGAAAUUGAAGAUGACCUUCAUUAUUAUGCAGCUGAAAUGCUCCAGGCCGCUGCUCAAGCCAACCAAUCCAAGCAGGGUGUUGACCAAUUAAUGCAGCAGCGGUAGCAAGAGACGAUGAAACUGCCUCUGUACUCUGAAACAAAGGGUAGGAAGAUAAUUUCUGUAGCAAAGGAAAGUGAGAGAGCUCAAAUAAAGGCACCACCUGCAGGAAGAGUCAUCAUGCUCGAUGGGAACGGAGUGCCACUUGGACACAGGCAAUGUAGUGUGUGCAAAAAGGUUGCAAGACACAACAAGCUCAC
rnacentral:lncRNA from 1 species